AUAUUGCACAAUGGGGGAAACCCCGAUGCAGCGACGCCGCGUGAGUGAAGAAGUAUUUCGGUAUGUAAAGCUCUAUCAGCAGGGAAGAUAAUGACGGUACUUGACUAAGAAGCCCCGGCUAACUACGUGCCAGCAGCCGCGGUAAUACGUAGGGGGCAAGCGUUAUCCGGAUUUACUGGGUGUAAAGGGAGCGUAGGUGGCAGGGCAAGUCAGAUGUGAAAACCCGGGGCUCAACCCCGGGAGUGCAUUUGAAACUGUCCAGCUGGAGUGCAGGAGAGGUAAGCGGAAUUCCUAGUGUAGCGGUGAAAUGCAUAGAUAUUAGGAGGAACACCGGUGGCGAAGGCGGCCUGCUGGACUGCGACUGACGUUGAGGCCCGAAAGCGUGGGGAGCAAACAGG
rnacentral:rRNA from 1 species